rnacentral:rRNA from 2 species
UACGUAGGGGGCAAGCGUUAUCCGGAUUUACUGGGUGUAAAGGGAGCGUAGACGGUGAUGUAAGUCAGAUGUGAAAGCCCAGGGCUCAACCCUGGGACUGCAUUUGAAACUAUGUCACUGGAGUGCAGGAGAGGUAAGUGGAAUUCCUAGUGUAGCGGUGAAAUGCGUAGAUAUUAGGAGGAACACCAGUGGCGAAGGCGGCUUACUGGACUGUAACUGACGUUGAGGCUCGAAAGCGUGGGGAGCAAACAGG